GAGCGGUUGAGAGGGAAAGGUUACAGUGAGUUUCAGCUCCAGCCAGCUCCUGGCAGCUGCAAGUGGAUUUAUGUGUGUCACCAUGAGAAGGUGGGCUCUGAGCUGAAGGCAGAAUAGCAUCUUUAUCCUGAGGAUUCUAAAUGAUGUGGUCAAACUUCCUGUUACCAAGACUAAGACAACUGACAUCUUGGGACCCUGGGAUCUGGAGGUGGCAACCACCUGUUGGGGAUGGGAAGACAGGCCUGUCUUUCUACCUUGCUGAUCAUGGAACCACUGGGGCUACCCCUACACACACCACUUGGAAAAUAAGUUAAAACAAUGAUGUUCACUCUGAAUCACCACCAACACAACAUCUGGGAAGACUGUGGCGGUGUGGCGGACAGGCAGGGAGAUAAUCACAAAACUGCGGCAGCUGGAAAGCAGAUGGACUUGGCAGACCAGGGAGGCUAAAGCUAAGCUGGCCACUGGAAGGUACAGAAAUUGGAGACCCAGGCAUUUUGGAAGAGAUGAAGGGGGCUAAAGCCAGAAAAACUGGAAGUCUAAAAUGCAGGGCAGAUGGAGUAUUAGAUGAUUAUUAAUAAAUUACUAUUAAUUUUACAACAUAUUUUGCUAACACUUUAAAAAAAAAACUGUCU